ensembl:lncRNA
CAGCUCAAUCAAUUCAUCAACGAAUAGAUUCAGCACUACUUAAAAAAUAUAUAUAUUAUUGAAGGUGUAUUUCUCCUCUGGAAAAUGCCACCACUGUAUGUGUGUGUGCGUGUUUGUGUGUGUGGGAGUUUUAAUACCGCAAGGGCAUUUAGUGCUUAGUUAGGUCAGGCUGAGGAAGCAAACCCUUCUGAAUAUCAAACAGACUGACGCGCUGUCAGUCGCCCUUUUCUAUCCCACAGACUUCAUCCAUCACCUCCCUGUCUCCACAGAGCCCUUGGAACAUAGAAUUUAUACCAGAUUACAGUUUCCCUGCCUCUGAGUGUGCGUCGACUUACUGUGAGGGAACUAAGGCCUCGGAGCAAGAUACAAAAGACAGACCGCUAGCGGAAAAACCCAUGAGCUAUUAAAGGGAAGGUAGUCCGACAUGGUAUAAAUGAUCCCCCCCCCCCCCCUCUUAACAGACCCCCCUUCAAACCGUACGAUCCGUCAGCGGCCGGCGGACGGACCGAGCUUCAAAAUGAAGGUAUUAGAAAAAUCGACUUUGUAGCUUCACGUGUCGUUCCGCAGCGCGGGGAAAGGCAGCCGCGAUGAGGCACGGCGGCGGAAGGGCACCCAGAUGAAAGAACAGUGGGCAUUCCAUUAAUUAUGCGUGCUUGUUUACCCUGAAUAACGAGCCGGGCCCCGGGGCCCGACCCCGCAGCGCAGAGGGGCCUGCCACGGGCGACAUCCAUUUAUACAGAGUGCCGCUCGGCGACGGAUGAUGGGAUCAGACGCCUGAUUGCAAGAGCUGACACUGGGGCUGUCAACACGUUCCACCGCGCUCCGCCCCUUUAGAGGAGCCCUACGAUACCCCACGACUACAGGAGGGAAGGGCUCCCAUUGGGCAGAACAAAGGCCGUGAACGUAAGAACACUCUCUUUGACCAAGAGGCUGGUGAUGAAGAGGCUGGUGAUGAAGAGGAAGCUGGUGAUGAAGAGGAAGCUGGUGAUGAAGAGGCUGGUGCAGACAAAGGGGCUGGUGAUGACGGGGCUGGUGAUGAAGAGGAGGUUGGUGAUGAAGAGGCUGGUGAUGAAAAGGAGGCUGGUAACGAAAAGGAGGCUGGUGAUGAAGAGGAGGCUGGUGAGGAAGAGGAGGCUGGUGAGGAAGAGGCUGGUGAGGAAGAGGCUGGUGAUGAAGCGGCUGGUGAUGAAGAGGCUGGUGACGAAGAGGAGGCUGGUGAUGAAGAGGCUGCAGUAGGGUAAUUGCUCAUACAUGUUCC